CCUACGGGAGGCAGCAGUAGGGAAUAUUGGACAAUGGGCGAAAGCCUGAUCCAGCCAUGCCGCGUGAGUGACGAAGGCCUUCGGGUUGUAAAGCUCUUUUGGCGGGGACGAUAAUGACGGUACCCGCAGAAUAAGCCCCGGCUAACUUCGUGCCAGCAGCCGCGGUAAUACGAAGGGGGCUAGCGUUGUUCGGAAUCACUGGGCGUAAAGCGCACGUAGGCGGACUUUCAAGUCAGGGGUGAAAUCCCGGAGCUCAACUUCGGAAUUGCCUUUGAUACUGUAGGUCUCGAGUCCGGAAGAGGUGGGUGGAAUUCCUAGUGUAGAGGUGAAAUUCGUAGAUAUUAGGAAGAACACCGGUGGCGAAGGCGGCCCACUGGUCCGGUACUGACGCUGAGGUGCGAAAGCGUGGGGAGCAAACAGGAUUAGAUACCCCAGUAGUC
rnacentral:rRNA from 1 species